AUGUGCUGCCAGCAUGAUCUGGUCAUCUUGCAGCUUCAAUCACUCAAUUAUCAGCAGAUAAUUAACUUGCUCCAUUUUCAUCAGAUCAAUUUCACAGCACGAGCACUGCAGAGACAAAAUUUGAAACGGUUUCAUUUGUUACUUUCUUCCAUAGACAACUGUUUGUGGUGGUCCUAUCUUUUGUACUGUCGCAAUCUACUCAACUUAUCUUCUGCACUAGUUCAUUUUUUUAUACCAUCUUCUUGUUAA